GGCCUAUAGCUCAGCUGGUUAGAGCGCACGCCUGAUAAGCGUGAGGUCGAUGGUUCGAUAGAAUACAAUAAUCAUACCCUUUUACGGGGCCU
rnacentral:tRNA from 1 species